CUCACCUUGCGUCGUCGUUUCGGUUGUGAAUCGUGCAAAAAUAAAUAUUAUUCUGCUUGAAAAUUAAUAUGUUUCUUUGUGCGGGGUGUAGAAUCUGCUGCUGAACCCUUUUUAACAAACGUGGGGCCGUAACAAAUGCUUCUUUAUUGCAACUCAUUCCGCAGAAACCCGUCAUCACACUUGUCUCCAUCCCGUUCGAAUUGAGCGUCACCAGCCACACAGUCGGCGGACGCAGAGGGUCCGCAAAUCAUCUUCCAUCUGGCUGCGAUCGAUCCGUUUAUUUCUUCCGUAUCCAUGAAACCGACGACUCCAAGGCAGAAAGACUUCACCGUAGGAAUCGUGGUAAUCGAAAACUACCUCGAUCGACAGAAAUGUUUUCCUUGAACUUCAUAAAUAUUAUAAACAAAGCAGCCAUAAAGAUUCCAAUGAUUCCAGUAAAUUCGGAAACCAUCUCCUACCCGUUAAUAGCGAAAGGGAAUCAAGUCGUUGGAGCUGCCUGAGUUGGAUAACGCAAUUUCUAGAAGUAUUCAAUAUUGCAUCACCGGAAAAGAAAAAAAGGCAGUGAAGGAUGGAGAUAAUUCAUCUGAAACUACUGGCACCGAAGAGGAAUGUGGCAGUGAAUAAGGAAAAGAAAGGCGAUUGGUACAGCUCAAGGAACGGCAGGGAGUCGUACUACCACCCUUAUACAAACAACACAGCUCUCGCGAUAAUUAUGCACGGUUCAUGCAGGAAAAUAUGAUCUAUCCUAUAAAACACAUAUACGACACCAUAUGAGAACAUGACUGAGCAAAUUCGAGCAUUUGAUGAUGGAUCCCAAAAUGUCGGAAUUGAAUUAAAGAUAAAUGUUCGAAGGAUAAUGCUGACUUCAAGGCUGCGAGAAGGAAAUUGAAUGUGAGAGACAGGCGUUCGGGAACGGAAUUAGAGAUCGGCAGCGCGGUUGAUAACUUUUUUCAAAAGAAGUACAAUUUGUUCUUUGCUGGUAAGAUCACUAUUUAUAGGAGUCUCAGGAAUAGGAGAAAUAGAGAUAUAAGUAGGAAACAAGAUCUCGUUUGCCACAGCCGUUCUAUGCAUAAUUGUCCCAUGUUACCGUUGAUGAAAAAAUCCAAACUCGAAUCAAUUUGUCCCACCAAUUUCAGAAUCAAUUGGAUCUUGAAAUUUAACAAAUAUUUUUGAAAUAUUAUGAGCGUAGGCAAAACUUUUCCAGAACAUAAAACGAAUUACUAAUUAUUUAUUCGGUUUUCAUUCUCUUUUAUCAUCAAACAACAACUUCAUUUUUUCAGUGGGACAAAUUGACUCGAGUUUGAGAUUUUUCUUCAAAGGUAACAUGGGACAAUUAUGUAUAGAAUGGCAGUAUAAUGUUUCUAAAAAAUGGUUUUAUUUUAUUUUCAAAUUUUUUGAACAAAUUCUAGAUAGUUAAAGCACGUUGAAGGCCAUACUACAUAUUACGUAAGCACUUAGGGGGGAGGGGUGGUCUGUCGUUCUCUUACGCAUUAUAUAACUGAAAAACAUGUAUAUGAAAAAAAAACUUAGAUGAAGGAGUUGGGUUCGAAAAACUCAUAAAAAUAGUUUACGUAAUAUAUGUACAAUUACCAAUAAAGAAGUUUUUCUUUUGGGAAGA